GAUGAACGCUGGCGGCGUGCCUAAUACAUGCAAGUCGAGCGAACAGACGAGGAGCUUGCUCCUCUGACGUUAGCGGCGGACGGGUGAGUAACACGUGGAUAACCUACCUAUAAGACUGGGAUAACUUCGGGAAACCGGCGCUAAUACCGGAUAAUAUAUUGAACCGCAUGGUUCAAUAGUGAAAGACGGUUUUGCUGUCACUUAUAGAUGCAUCCGGGCCGCAUUAGCUAGUUGGUAAGGUAACGGCUUACCAAGGCAACGAUGCGUAGCCGACCUGAGAGGGGGAUAGGCCACACUGGAACUGAGACACGGUCCAGACUCCUACGGGAGGCAGCAGUAGGGAAUCUUCCGCAAUGGGCGAAAGCCUGACGGAGCAACGCCGCGUGAGUGAUGAAGGUCUUCGGAUCGUAAAACUCUGUUAUUAGGGAAGAACAAAUGUGUAAGUAACUAUGCACGUCUUGACGGUACCUAAUCAGAAAGCCACGGCUAACUACGUG
rnacentral:rRNA from 1 species